CCAGGACAGAAUCUAGAAGGCUGGCCAGCAGGGACCCAUCAGGACCAUCUGGUGACACUGUUCCUCUUCUGCAUAAACUUCAAGUAGAAAAAAACAGGAUUGUCUAGAAGGUUAUAGAAAAAUGACACUGACUGCCUACUCUGUGCCAAGAAGUAUUACGGAGCAGAAGUGGAAGUAGCAAGGGUUUUGAUGCCAGAAAGACCUGGAUUCGAAACCAAACCUGUACCUUACCAGCUGUGGAUUUUGGCAAGAUUACUGCACCUCUCAAAGACCCAAUUUCCCCUUCAAAAAAUGGCCUUUCAGCAUUGAUGGAAGGGUUCAGUGAGGUAACAUGUAUGGCUCACAGGAGUGGCUGACACUUGGUAGGCAAAUUAAGAGAUGCUCCCUUACAAAAUUUCAAACUGAAUCUCUAAUCUGACUUCAAGGGCUAAUAAAAUAAAGAAAUGCCAUAGGUCUCAAACACGCACACACAAACACUAGCAAUCACCAGACGUAUGUCAAAUCAUACUAAUGGAAAGAUUUCAUUUUUUCUUCUUCCAGUCUUUUCUGGUGUGGGAGGGAGUUGGUUGUGAUUGGUCAGGUAUGAAAGUGGAGCGUUUUCUGUCUCCGCAUGUCUCUCUUCUUCCUAAGGCUUACGGGAGCAGAACAUUGUGCAUUCAAG
rnacentral:lncRNA from 10 species